rnacentral:rRNA from 1 species
CUACGUGCCAGCAGCCGCGGUAAUACGUAGGUGGCGAGCGUUAUCCGGAAUUAUUGGGCGUAAAGGGUGCGUAGGCGGCCUGUUAAGUAAGUGGUUAAAUUGUUGGGCUCAACCCAAUCCAGCCACUUAAACUGGCAGGCUAGAGUAUUGGAGAGGCAAGUGGAAUUCCAUGUGUAGCGGUAAAAUGCGUAGAUAUAUGGAGGAACACCAGUGGCGAAGGCGGCUUGCUAGCCAAAGACUGACGCUCAUGCACGAAAGCGUGGGGAGCAAAUAGGAUUAGAUACCCUAGUAGUCCACGCCGUAAACGAUGAAUACUAAGUAUUGGGGAAACUCAGUGCUGCAGCUAACGCAAUAAGUAUUCCGCCUGUGGAGUAUGCACGCAAGUGUGAAACAUAAAGGAAUUGACGGGGGCCCGCACAAGCGGAGGAACAUGUGGUUUAAUUCGAUGAUACGCGAGGAACCUUACCCGGGCU